GUAUUCCUUGGUUUUAAUUUUAAUUAUUGGUAGUGUUGUUUAGUGCACCUUUUAAUUUCUCUUUGGAAACCCAACAGCCAGGCGGCUGGGUUUCUUUGGUAAUCCAACAGACCCUUACUAUUUAUUAUUUUAGUUUCUUUUUUCAUUUUUUGUUCCAAUCUAGUAGGGUUUAUAUAUUUAGGUUGUUAUUUAAAUACCACUAACCAUGAGUGGUUUGGUGGAUAAGGGUAGUAUCAUAGUUUUGAGUGGGGUGGGUUCAAUACCCAGGUAUGUUGCCUUGGUUUUCCAACACUUUGAUUUUUCCAUAUUUUCUUUAAUUCUCACAUUUAAUUAUCUAGCCUUAUCAUUUAACUAACAUGUUUCUAUCAUUUAUUCAUUUUUUAUUAUUAUUUUAUUUUUAAUAUGACUUAUGUGAUUAUUCAUUUAUUUAUUUUUGGGAUUUAUGUGAAUUAUUAUAUUUGUGUUUGUUCAUUCAUUUGUACAAAUUAUUUGCCUUUAUGUGUGAGUUACGUUACAAUCAUGAUAAAUCAUCACAAUCUCAUUAAUAAAAAAAACCCAUUCAAAACCAUUUUAAAAUUAUAAAAAUCAUAUUUUCUCGAUUCAAUGUCGAGCCCAUUUUUCCACACCCUUGUAAGUCGAUUGCUUUUUAAGCAUCGCCAUCAACCUCACAUAGCUUACUCUUGGGCUUUCUUACAAUGAGCCGGUUCUCUUGCACUUACACUCAUAUUUCGAGUCAUUUUGUUGUUUGGGCCCGAUUUAAU
rnacentral:lncRNA from 1 species